GACGAACGCUGGCGGCGUGCCUAAUACAUGCAAGUCGAACGCUUCUUUCCUCCCGAGUGCUUGCACUCCAUUGGAAAGAGGAGUGGCGGACGGGUGAGUAACACGUGGGUAACCUACCCAUCAGAGGGGGAUAACACUUGGAAACAGGUGCUAAUACCGCAUAACAGUUUAUGCCGCAUGGCAUAAGAGUGAAAGGCGCUUUCGGGUGUCGCUGAUGGAUGGACCCGCGGUGCAUUAGCUAGUUGGUGAGGUAACGGCUCACCGAGGCCACGAUGCAUAGCCGACCUGAGAGGGUGAUCGGCCACACUGGGACUGAGACACGGCCCAGACUCCUACGGGAGGCAGCAGUAGGGAAUCUUCGGCAAUGGACGAAAGUCUGACCGAGCAACGCCGCGUGAGUGAAGAAGGUUUUCGGAUCGUAAAACUCUGUUGUUAGAGAAGAACAAGGACGUUAGUAACUGAACGUCCCCUGACGGUAUCUAACCAGAAAGCCACGGCUAACUACGUG
rnacentral:rRNA from 1 species